UGGGGAAUAUUGGACAAUGGGCGCAACCCUGAUCCAGCCAUGCCGCGUGUGUGAAGAAGGUCUUCGGGUUGUAAAGCACUUUUAUUCGGGAGGAAGGCCAUUAAGCUAAUACCUUGCUGUUUUGACGUUACCAACAGAAUAAGCACCGGCUAACUUCGUGCCAGCAGCCGCGGUAAUACGAAGGGUGCAAGCGUUAAUCGGAAUUACUGGGCGUAAAGCGCGCGUAGGUGGUUCAGCAAGUUGGAUGUGAAAUCCCCGGGCUCAACCUGGGAACUGCAUCUAAAACUACAGAGCUAGAGUGUGGUAGAGGGGGGUAGAAUUUCACGUGUAGCAGUGAAAUGCGUAGAUAUAGGGAGGAAUACCAGUGGCGAAGGCGACCACCUGGACUGAUACUGACACUGAGGUGCGAAAGCGUGGGGAGCAAACA
rnacentral:rRNA from 1 species